GCUCACUGCAACCUCCACCUCCUAGGAUCAAGCAAUCCUCUCACCUCAGCCUCCUGAGAAGCUGGAACCACAGGCAUGCAACACCAUGUCUGGCUAAUUUUUUUGAUUUUUUUUGUAGAGAUGGGGUUUCACUAUGUUGCCCAGGCUGGUCUCCAACUCCUGGACUCAAGGGAUUCUCCAGCCUCAGCCUCCCAAAGUGCUGGGAUUUUAGGGGGAAAUGUUAAUCAAUCCCACAAUAAGAUACCACUUCAUACCCCCUAUC
rnacentral:lncRNA from 1 species